rnacentral:lncRNA from 1 species
GCUCGGAUGGGAUGGCUGUGUUCCCAGGGAAAUAAGCCUAUCUGCAUUAGCCAGCACUCGGAUCCAGGAGGCAUUGUAAAAGGAUCAGCAUCAACCUAUGAGAGUUUCAGCAGAGGGAGGUCUGCGUGCCUGAGCCCUGCCUCCACCUGCUCCAGAUCAACCCGCCCACCCUCUAGCUCUACAGACCUCCCUCGCCAGGCCUUGCCUGACCCAUUUGGAGUCUGCAACAACCUGCUAGGCACCGUAUCUCUUUUUCCAGCCUUCAGCUGCUCCUGUAGCUGUGGUCCCAGAGUCUACUGCCAGUGUCCAGGCCCGGGUUCCCUACCCCAUGUCCACCCUACUGAGUGGGUCUCACAGUCCUUGGGCCUGUCACCAUGGCAGGCUCAUCAUGAAGGGUAUGGACACUUCCAUAUCUCCUCUUCAAGGCAAAUUACAGCAAAACAGGCUUUAGGCAGGCUGCCAGGGCUGCAUAUUUUGCACUCUUCACACAGGGUUUAUUGCUGAUCAAAGCCAGUUGUCAGUACAACAGCCUUCACAAGAUCGAAAUGUCAUUUGGGAAAGGAAGUGUGUGUUUUUAACUCAAACCAAAGGCUGACAGAGAUGGCCUCUCAGGGUCGGACACAGCUGUUUCACUAGGGCUUAGCCCUUUACAAUGCCUGCAGAAGUCAGGGGGCCUGGAGUUCUUCAUUCACUAAUGCUGUAUCAGUGUUGAAGCCUGGAGGAGAACAACUCUGGUCUCCCCAGGCCGCAGUUUCUGACAGAAACUACAAGUGGUGCGGAGAGACAACACAUGGCUGCACCUCAGCACUGCUGGUGCAGCGUGAAGGCUGAGCUACCAGUGUGUUACACAGGACCCAUGCUCGUGCUUGGUGUGAUUUGGCACCAGGACUCUGACAGAUCCUCACUGCCUGGUCCAGCUACAGCCUGGGUUUGGCUUGCUCAGGUUGCACAUCCCAGUUCCCAAAGAGCAGAGAGGCUGCUCAGAAAGGGACAGUGGCCAAAGUGUAAGAACACCUAAUAGUCUCAAAAAUGGUUGUGUUUCAAAUCUGCCUGAUGUUCCCACUGUCGGUUAUAUAAACAUAGCAGCGUUGUUAUUGUAGGGCAGGCUAUUUUAAGACAGACAGACUAACAGAGUUGGAUUUCAACGUUCAGAUUCUUAUUUUUCCCAUUGCAUAUGUUAGCUCUUGUUUUUUGUAAAAAUGGCUUGACUAGAACUAAUGUCUCGCACAUAUUCCUUAGGGAGGGAUGCCAAGAUGAACUGUGAAAGACACUUGUUAUUUCACGCUCUUCUCCUGUUACUUUGGGUGAAUUUGGUCAUGCCAGUCGGGCUCAGAUUCUUCCAAAACAAAUUAACCAGAUGAAAUCUGUGGUGUCCUCCACCUUUUAAGAAGCAAGCUGCAGAGAUGUCAAACUGGGCGAAUAAAGCUAGUGAUCACACGUUUAAGGUUUGUCUC